GAGGCGAGAGGUCCCUACAAUGGGGAGCUGCGAACCUGGUCAGGGACGAAAGUCAGCAGCCAUAAGCAGUGAUCUCCAUGUGUAGCGGGCCUCUCGCCACG
rnacentral:SRP_RNA from 1 species